rnacentral:rRNA from 1 species
UGGGGAAUAUUGCACAAUGGGCGCAAGCCUGAUGCAGCCAUGCCGCGUGUGUGAAGAAGGCCUUCGGGUUGUAAAGCACUAUCAGCGGGGAGGAAGGCGGUGAGGUUAAUAACCUCAUCGAUUGACGUUACCCGCAGAAGAAGCACCGGCUAACUCCGUGCCAGCAGCCGCGGUAAUACGGAGGGUGCAAGCGUUAAUCGGAAUUACUGGGCGUAAAGCGCACGCAGGCGGUCUGUCAAGUCGGAUGUGAAAUCCCCGGGCUCAACCUGGGAACUGCAUGCGAAACUGGCAGGCUAGAGUCUUGUAGAGGGGGGUAGAAUUCCAGGUGUAGCGGUGAAAUGCGUAGAGAUCUGGAGGAAUACCGGUGGCGAAGGCGGCCCCCUGGACAAAGACUGACGCUAAGGUGCGAAAGCGUGGGGAGCAAACAGG